UUGGAGGGCAAGUCUGGUGCCCGCAGCCGCGGUAAUUCCAGCUCCAAUAGCGUAUAUUAAAGUUGUUGCAGUUAAAAAACUCGUAGUUGAAUUUCGGGAUCAAGGAAUCGGUCAUGCCUUGGUAUGUACUGGUUUUAUUGGUUCUCACCUUCUAAAGAACCAUAAUGUCAUUUAUUUGAUGUUAUGGGGAAUUAGGACUGUUACCUUGAAAAAAUUAGAGUGUUUAAAGCAGGC
rnacentral:rRNA from 1 species